rnacentral:rRNA from 1 species
AUUGAACGCUGGCGGCAGGCCUAACACAUGCAAGUCGAACGAGUGGCGGACGGGUGAAUAAUGUCUGGGAAACUGCCCGAUGGAGGGGGAUAACUACUGGAAACGGUAGCUAAUACCGCAUACCAUCGGAUGUGCCCAUGUGGGAUUAGCUAGUAGGUGGGGUAACGGCUCACCUAGGCGACGAUCCCUAGCUGGCCUGAGAGGCUUACCAGCCACUAUUGAACUGAGACACGGCCCAGACGCCUACGGGAGGCAGCAGUGGGGAAUAUUGCACGAUGGGCGCAAGCCUGGUGCAGCCAUGCCGCGUGUAUGAAGAAGGCCUUCGGGUUGUAAAGUACUUUCAGCGAGGAGGCGUUACUCGCAGAAGAUGCACCGGCGAGAUCCGUGCCAGCAGCCGCGGUAAUUC